UACGUAGGGGGCGAGCGUUGUCCGGAUUUAUUGGGCGUAAAGAGCUCGUAGGCGGUCUGUCGCGUCGAAUGUGAAAACCCGGGGCUCAACCCCGGGCCUGCAUUCGAUACGGGCAGACUAGAGUUCGGUAGGGGAGUCUGGAAUUCCUGGUGUAGCGGUGAAAUGCGCAGAUAUCAGGAGGAACACCGGUGGCGAAGGCGGGACUCUGGGCCGAUACUGACGCUGGAGGAGCGAAAGCGUGGGGAGCGAACAGG
rnacentral:rRNA from 1 species